rnacentral:lncRNA from 1 species
AGCAGUUAGUUGGGGUGGCUUCUGAGUAGGCUGCAAAGUGUCUGCUCCCAGGGUGUGGGGUGCACGGCCCCACAAGUCCAGUGAGGGUGGUGCUGAUGGUGACCUGCUGCUGCCAGGCCUGCUGCAAGCUCUUUCUGUGUUUUCUGGUUGAAUCCUCAGGACAGGCUGCGGGAGGAGCUGCAGGACUGAGGUACAGAGGCCAGGGGCCCAGGGCAGGACCCAGCCUGGACUUGACUCCCUGGGAUCCCAGGAAGGGCACACCCUUUCCUCACCACCCGAGUGAGCGCUGCCCCCUCACAGAGACCUCUUUGCCCCCUGGGCCAGGCAGAGCAGGCGCUGCGGUCCGGGAGGCCCCAUGGAGGUGGCGGUGCCCGUGAAGCAGGAGGCCGAGGGCCUGGCGCUGGACUCCCCGUGGCACCGCUUCCGCCGCUUCCACCUGGGCGACGCGCCGGGCCCGCGGGAGGCGCUGGGGCUGCUCCGCGCCCUGUGCCGGGACUGGCUGCGGCCCGAGGUGCACACCAAGGAGCAGAUGUUGGAGCUGCUGGUGCUGGAACAGUUCCUGAGCGCGCUGCCCGCCGACACGCAG